UCAGUUCGGCUGUCAUCGAGCGUGCAAUCAGAUGUUGGCGGCUCUAAGAUCCCGCGCCCUACUCCAUCACUCAUCUUCUUCUUCCUUCUCGAAUCUUCAACAAUGGAAGCUAGGGUUUCUAGGGUUGAAACGCACCUGGUCAUCCUCCUAUAUUGAGAGCAACAAGGCAACAGAGUUGCUGAACUUGCAAGAGAUAGAGCAGAUUCUGAGCGAUGUUAAAGCCGACGACAUCAGAGUGAUUCCGGUUCGCCAGCACUGUGAUUUCAUGGUUAUCGCCACUGGUAGAUCCACCUGGCACGUCAAAAACAUCGCUCAAGCCCUUAUUUACAAGGCUAAGCAAAAACAGAAGGGAGCUCAGCGAAUUUUGCUGCCCAGUGUAGAAGGGCAAGAGGGAGGGAAAUGGGUUAUCAUUGACUCUGGCACGGUAAUAGUUCAUGCUCUUGAUGAGAAGGCUAGAGCGUAUUACAAUUUAGAAAGUCUUUGGACCACAGAAACAUCUCCAAAUGAACCAAGUAGUCAGGAAUUGAAAAAUGCUUUUGUGAAGAUCCGCCGCAAGAAUAACUCCAAAAAAUCAGUGCAGACUAGUUCUUAACCUUGUCUUCCAACUGGGUCCUCCUAUUUUACUUUCCAACCAUGGAACUUCUAGUUUUGACCUCAUAAAUCUCCAUGCUUGGUCUAAAUAGCUGGGCAAAGUUUUCUAUUUGAGAACAUUCAAAGUGAUUUAUAUGCAGAAAUAGCUUCCUGAAAUGGUGUAACAUCUGCCAAACAGAAGCAUGUGAACUUGAAAACAACGUUGAUGGUAUGGAGUAGAAAAACCAACCAUCUGCCUUUCUAGCUGGGGCCAUGGAAUGACAGCCCAGCCUCCACUAAAGCUUCUUGAUGGCAAAAGAUAACCAUCCUCUUUAAUGUUGACAAUCCGUCUUUCUGAUCGAUUGAGGAUGAAUUCUGAAUCCCAAUUUCCUUUCAUUUGAUAUUUACUGUUAUUUUGGUAAAUUUUCACUGGACAAUGAUAAAUCUGCUUCUCUCUA